GUCAGUGAGGCUCCCAAGGAGGCCCCAGUGAGGAAGUACCUGCCCUCUCUGGAGAAGACUGAUGAGCAGAAGAAAGAUGAGUUGCUGAGCGCCAUGGUGGCGAAGCUGGGGAACAUGGACGACCCUCUUCCACCGGAGUCCUUCCAGGGUGUGGACGAUGACGAGUGGGACGACUAGUGUGUGUGUGUCUGUUGCCUUGUGGACCAAUCAGGGUGCCAGCAUCUGCCUGGGCGUGGCAGGAGGAUGCCAUUCUUGUGUGCCUACCUACAGCUGUG